UGAGUAAUGUCUGGGGAUCCGCCCGAUAGAGGGGGAUAACCACUGGAAACGGUGGCUAAUACCGCAUAACGUCGCAAGACCAAAGAGGGGGACCUUCGGGCCUCUCACUAUCGGAUGAACCCAGAUGGGAUUAGCUAGUAGGCGGGGUAAUGGCCCACCUAGGCGACGAUCCCUAGCUGGUCUGAGAGGAUGACCAGCCACACUGGAACUGAGACACGGUCCAGACUCCUACGGGAGGCAGCAGUGGGGAAUAUUGCACAAUGGGCGCAAGCCUGAUGCAGCCAUGCCGCGUGUAUGAAGAAGGCCUUCGGGUUGUAAAGUACUUUCAGCGGGGAGGAAGGCGGUGAGGUUAAUAACCUUACCGA
rnacentral:rRNA from 1 species